rnacentral:rRNA from 1 species
AUGGCUCCCCCCGAUGACGUUGCAGGUAACUCUGGUGAGAAUGAGGGGAGUAAGAAGGCUAAGAAGAAGAUUAAGAAGAAAGGCAAUCUAUGUGGCUUUAAGUCAAGGUUUAACUCAAAAAGGCUGGCUCAGAUUGGGAAGCAAAUAUCACCGGAAAAACAGAGAAUCAUAAGGGAGGGACCGUUUGGAGACUUGUUGGACAUCCGGUCUUUCAAGGUGCCCCAUGAGCUCAUUGAGUUUGUUGCGAUGAACACGAAUCACGUACUCUCUGAGUUCAAACACAAGAACAAAUCUAUCACCUUCAGCAAGCUUAUGGUGAAAAGGAUUUUCAACGUGCCAUCCGGUGAUAGACCCGUGAAGAUUCUAAAGAAGAGUGAUGAACAUGAUCUUCGCAACAUUUACAAGGAGGGGAACAGGGCUCCAAUCGCCCAUGUUGUCAAGUUGCUCACUAGUUGCAGUGAGGAGGACGUGGAUAUGAUAAAUAGGACUUGGGCACUCCUUGCGUUGGCAACAGUUUUGUGCCCAGGCACGGGCAAUAUGGUGAACCUUGAGUAUCUUGCUUCCUUGGAAGAUAUGUCUUUGGUGCAUGAGUUCGCUUGGGAUGAGCACUUGUUGGCACGAGCGAUGGAGGAGGUUGGAGUCUUUCAAGAGAAGAAGAGGAUGCAAGCAAACGCAGAAAAAGAGUUCCAGAUUGCUUCAUGCCUCCCCAUGUUAGCGAUCAUAUACAUGGAUCAUGUUGAUAUCCCGGCGGGCCUCCCAAAUGAGCAUGCUAUUGAUUAUUCCGUGCCGAGGAUACGUUUUGUUUGCCAAAAGGAUUUUGAGUGGCUGGAUAAAGUUGACAAGAACAAGCUCACUCUUAUCCAACCUUUCUACGGGAAACACACCCAUAUCCGGAGUUUGUGCAACACCCCCUAUGCAGCACAACUUGUGGGACAGGAAGUUGGUGCUGAAGCAGCUAGUGGGCAGGGAGGUGGUGCUGAAGCACCUAGUGGCCAAGGAAUUAGUGGCCAAGGAAGCCAAGUUCAAGGUGCUGAAAAUCAAGCAAAGAACUCUCAAUCAAACGAGGCUCAACAAAAUGUUGAUGCUGAACCACACCUAUCAUCAUCGCUGAACGAGUGGCUGCAGCAAUCAUUCCCUAGCAUGCAAGAUCUAAGGGUACCAACUCAGUUUCAAAUGCUUUACGACAAGCACAAGGGUAUUUUUGCAGCGGAGGUGGAUGAUGUUGUAGGCAAGUUUGGACAGUGUUUAAAGGGAUUGCAGUGCAGCCGGAUGGCUGCCCUCCUUCGCGAUGUUGGAGAUGCCGUCACAGCUACCAGUGAGCCCAACUUCUCCUUCGAAGCACCUAUCAUGGACGAAUGUCGCGGAAAAGAGAAUGAUGCUAAAGCUGCAAAUGAUGGCAUUGGUGCUCAAGCUCAAGCUGAAGGUACAACACCUAGCAUUAACAAGGAUGAAGUCACCGGAUUGAAGCAACAAGUAGCAACCGAGGCUGCUGAAACUCGUGAGCAACAAAUAGUGAGUUUUGAGAUGGAAGGGAACGUCUCACCUCACAGCCCCCCACUCUUCUAUGAUGCACCCAGGAGUGCGACAGCUGGCAUUUGGGACGACGAGCCAUCCUGUGAGUUGUUCCCAAAAGGCUCCGAAGACUACGAGAUGAUGCAUUGCACGGAUGAGCCUAUAACCAAGAAAAGCACAGUCAGCCCCAUAUUUGAAAACAUCCCCGUGUUCCCUGUUCCAGACGAUGAUGACAGCCCAACUCCUAAUAUGGUCGCUACAGAAGAGCAUUUUGUUGAGGCAAGCAGUGGCCCUAGCACACAUGACAAGAACACUAGGAAGAAGAGGAUGGCCAAAGUUCCAGCGGUAAAAAAUACCAAGGCAAAGAAGCAAAAGGUUGAUGCAGCUGCAGCCAUGUAUGAGAAGUAUGUAAAGCAUGGGAAACCAUUGAGGAGAUCACAUGCCAAUGAACAAGUGACACCUUUCAUCAAGAUGGGUGGAUUUUACAUUGGAUACAAGAAAUUCCUGGUAUGCUUCAAGCCUCGUGGGGAUAUGAAUGAUGAGGUUAUGUCCCUAUGCAUCGAGAUGAACAACAUGACAUCCCGUGCAGCAAGUGGUACGAAUCGGAAGAAAUACAUGUUCUCAGUCCACGCGGGGAUGCUACUAAAACAAGACCCAACAACCUUCCAACCAGCAAAACUCAUACCCGAGCUUGAAAGGGCUGUGACAAAGUUCAAGGCGAAUAAAUAUGACCUCCUUUUUUUCACAAUUGUUCAUGAUAAGCACUGGAUAAUUGUUUGCGCAAACUUGCUAUACAAGCAGUGGAAUGUAUUUGACUCAAUCCAUUCAAAAGGAAAACAAUCUCCUUUGAAGAAGCAAGCAAAUAACCUGAUCACAAACUUUGCAGCCCUCGCACAAGAGUACAGCCAAUUCAAUGUCGAUGUUGGAUCCUUCGCCCGUGUUGACCUAGAGGAUUACCCAAAGCAAGAUAACCUAUGUGAUUGUGGCUUUUUCGGGCUCAAAUAUGUGGAGAACUUUGAUGGGAAGUCAAUGAAAGAGUUCAAUCAGGAAGACGUGGCGCGAUACCGCAUGGAUGUGGUGCACAACCUUUGCACUCACCCAAUGAACAAUGCCCCAAUGGAGCGGGCAUUCAAUGAAGAGUUGGCGGCUUAA